rnacentral:lncRNA from 1 species
CAUCAUAUAUAUACAAUGCAUUCAAUCGGAAGCUACAUUGAGGCAUAUACACACAAAAGACAACCUCAAAAUGUUAAUAAAAUAUCAUCGACAUGGUGUAAUAGACCAAAAGUCAUAGAUAGAAUUGUACAAGUACAUACAAAAGUGACCUCAAAGUCUCAUCGAAUUUUUCACUUUAUGAGUCCAAUAUUCCUCGCUUGAUUGUUACACCACCCCUUGGCUUGAGUGUUGGUGUUUGUGGGACUAUUUUGUCUGAAAAGUAAUAAUAAUAAUAAUAAUAAUAAUAAUAAUAAUAAUAAUAAUAAUAAUAAUAAUAAUAAUAAUAAUAAUAAUAAUAAUAAUAAUAAUAAUAAUAAUAAUAAUGGUGAUGAUGAUGAUGACAAACAAUAAUGUAUUUGCAUACUAUCCUAUAUCGUUGAUGACGUCAUUCAACUAUUAACAUCAUUGUUUUAUGUAGAAUAUUCACCUUACACACACCUUUAUUUUGCUCGGAAACCAUUGCAAUGAACAUGUGGAUGUCCUCUUUUCUGAAAUUUGACCACAUGUGGAUGAACAUGUGGAUGUCUUUUACAAUUUCCUUUUCCAAGUACUCAAUUUUUGCUCUGAAAACUCUUGCAUGCUAAUCAACUCUAUUAUGACUGUUUUCAAUAGGAAAUGAUCAACUUUUCAUUUUCAAUCACUUUGGAUUACAAGUCAUUGUGAGAAAAAUACGUCCGAGUCCAUAUUUCGCAACAAGUGCUAGCACAUUCAUGUAACGGCAACCUAGAUCAUGCAACC